UGAAACACGGACCAAGAAGUCUAACAUGUGCGCAAGUCAAUGGGUGGCAAACCCAAAGGCGUAAUGAAAGUAAAGGCUAGCUCUGCUGGCCGAGGUAGGAUCCGCUUUGCGGCGCACUACCGUCCCAUCGUCUCUGCUCGUCAGUGCGGUGGUGAUUGAGCGCACAUGUUAGGACCCGAAAGAUGGUGAACUAUGCCUGAGUAGAGCGAAGCCAGAGGAAACUCUGGUGGAAGCUCGUAGCGGUUCUGACGUGCAAAUCGAUCGUCAAACUUGGGUAUAGGGGCGAAAGACUAAUCGAACCAUCUAGUAGCUGGUUCCCUCCGAAGUUUCCCUCAGGAUAGCUGGCAUUGGGAACGCAGUUUUACCCGGUAAAGCUAAUGAUUAGAGGUCUUGGGGACGAAACGACCUCAACCUAUUCUCAAACUUUAAAUGGGUAAGAAAGCUAGCUUUCUUAAUUGAAGCUAGCGAUUGAAUGCGAAUGCCAAGUGGGCCAUUUUUGGUAAGCAG
rnacentral:rRNA from 1 species